CCUACGGGAGGCAGCAGUGGGGAAUAUUGCACAAUGGGGGAAACCCUGAUGCAGCGACGCCGCGUGAGUGAAGAAGUAAUUCGUUAUGUAAAGCUCUAUCAGCAGGGACGAAAGUGACUGUACCUGUGUAAUAAGCCCCUGCUAACUACGUGCCAGCAGCCGCGGUAAUACGUAGGGGGUAAGCCUUAUCCAGAUUUACUGGGUGUAAAGGGAGCGUAGACGGCAGUGCAAGACUGGAGUGAAAGGCGUGGGCUCAACCCGCGGACUGCGCUGGAAACUGUACGGCUGGAGUGCAGGAGAGGUGAGUAGAAUUCCUAGUGUAGCGGUGAAAUGCGUAGAGAUUAGGAGGAAUACCAGUGGCGAAGGCGGCUUACUGGACUGGAACUGACGUUGAGGUGCGAAAGCGUGGGGAGCAAACAGGAUUAGAUACCCGUGUAGUC
rnacentral:rRNA from 1 species